AAUCGCAUAACUGGAUAUCCAUCAUCAUCUUGUCCCCAAAAUGUAAAUUUUGAUGCAUGCUUUUUAUUAUUUUUUUCAGUUUUGUAAGCAAUAAAUAUAGUUGGAAGCCCUAAGUGAAAUUGAAGAGAUGGACCUGAUUUCGCAGCUUCCUGAAUCUAUAGUUCAUCGCAUACUAUCUUUUUUAGUUCCUUUACAUACCCCUCCUGCAGAUUUUGUUAGAGUGAGUGUGUUGUCUAAGACCUGGUUUCAUCUAACUGCUUCUUACCCCCAUUUAGAUUUCACCAUCCGUAAUUUUACACAUGUCUCUAGAGAAAGUUUUUUCAAGUAUAUCGAGUAUACCACCUCUAGAUUUUGCCACCAAAAUCUCACUGCAUACACAUUAAGGCUCAUUACGGAUCUCAGGGAGUCUGCAGAAUUGGAUAUUGUUAACAGAUGCCUUGAAUUACUUCUUCAGAAUGGCGUGUAUGAUUUGGUGAUUGGUGUUGCUAACUCAUCAGAAUCCCCUUUUGCUUCUACUAACUAUCGUUUGCCUAACAUACUCUUAUCCAUUUCUGUUUUAGAUUCUUUGGAUAUAGGUCACUGUGAAUUGCCUUCUUCCUUCAUGCUUGAUACUGUCAUGUUUAAGUCUUUGCGUCCCCAUAAAUGAUGAAGUUCUCAAGCACAUCACCACUAGUUGCCCUCUUCUACAAGUAUUUGUGGUUAACGCUUGUCAUGGUCUCAAAAGAUUUUGUGUUUAUGGGCAUCAACAUCUUCGUAGUGUGUGGAUUCAGUAUAACACUCCAUUUGAGAGAAUAGAUAUUGAAGCUCCAAAUCUAUCAAGUCUUUCAAUUAAAGAUGACCAUGGAAGAGGAGGGCCACCACAAAUGAACUUGGCUUCAUGCGAAAAACUGAUAACCGUGUUUUACUAUGUGUGUCCCUAUUCAAACUCGUAUCCAAUUUCCCAUUCGUUGAAAAUUUGAUUUUGGCUACUACAAAUAAGUGCAACAACCUCAAGUUGUCAAGCCAUUCCUUGAGGACAUUGGUGUUAAAAACAUUUUGUGACUUGGAAGAAAUUAAGUUCAAUGCCCCCAAUUUGGUUUCGUUUAGUUACACUUGUUGUACUAGUGGACUCAUGUCUUUGAGCAUGGAUAAGCGCUGGGCUAUGUUAAGGGAUUCAUCCCGUUUGAAAGCAUGUAUGCAUUGUUAUCCUGUCAGUUAUAUAGACACACUUUGUCUUUGGUUCCAGAAGUUAAGGCUUUUUUUGGACAAGAAAAAUGGAUUCAAAGUUUUCAACUUGUAUAUUCACGCCAUAUAUAGCCCGAAAUUUAGAGAAUUAGAGAAGCUAAAGGAGAUCAAGUUUCCUCCUUAUGAACUCGAGCUUGUUGAGCUACAACUAGAAACCCAUGAAGAAUCACAGGCUCAUAUAGCUUUUGUAGAUGCUGUACUUUGGUGUUGCCGUCCUCGAACUCUAACUUUAAGAUCAUUCUCUCCUUUAACUGCUCUUGAAGAACACAGUGAUGUUGUUAAGUUUACAUACAAGAAGCUACUUGCACAAGAAGAUUGAGGCCCUACCAAUAUUCAGAUCGUGUCGCCGUCUUUUUCUUCAUUGUUGAUGGCCCUACCUCAUGUAGGAAAAGCAAUUAGCUUCAUAAAGGAAAAAGUCCUCCAAGAAGAAGCAGACAGUCAAAGGUUUGCGGGUUUGGAGAUUGUCUGACAGUCAAAGAUUUGCGGGUUUGGAGAUUGUCUGACAGUCAAAGGUUUGCGGGUUUGGAGAUUGUCCGAUACGUUGGUUUAGUAAUUUAUCGGAGAUUGCCAGUAAAGAUUAGAGUUUAACAAAUUGCAUUGAACCUUUCAUAAAUAUUAUGUGUUCAGAUAUUUAUGUAUGUAGGGAUGGUUUUAAUCAUGACCAUGAUGUGUAACAUGUGUUGACUAUAUAUAUGGGACUUUGCUUCGUCAUUCA